CGCGUAGGCGGUAGUGCAAGUCCGGUGUGAAAUCCCCCGGCUCAACCGGGGAGAUGCGCUGGAAACUGUGCUGCUAGAGUCUAGGAGGGGAAGCUGGAAUUCCUGGUGUAGGGGUGAAAUCUGUAGAGAUCAGGAAGAACACCGGAGGCGAAGGCGAGCUUCUGGCCAUAGACUGACGCUGAGGCGCGAAAGCGUGGGGAGCAAACAGGAUUAGAUACCCUGGUAGUCC
rnacentral:rRNA from 1 species